UGCCAAGCAGCGACCGGCCGGCUCUGAGUGGAUCAGGGCUGCCUCCCUCAAUUCUCUGGAAGGCGACUUUAACCUGUCGACAGAUUCUGCUAUAAACAACACACUCCUAGGCAUGUUUUCAGGAACCCGUGAUCGGCAGGGCUCCCCGUGCAGAGGAUCACCGUCUACGUGUUGAAGAAUGUAAAGAUGGUGCCAAAAAGAUCCCCCCAAAGACUCUCCCCAAAAAGAUUCCCCAUUUUACUGCUGUUUGUCGUUCAGCCUGGCCUUGAAAUCUGCUGUUUCCUUCCUUCUUUACACGUUGAGCAUGUCCUUGCUCCAAGCAGCUCACGGUGGCAAAGAUAUUUCGCCCCCCCGUUUUAUCUGUUCGGUGGACUGGACCGAGAAGGCAGAUCAGCACGUCACGCUAAGCCUGCAGGUCCCCCGAAACAAGGGUUCCUAUUGUAAACCACAACAGCUGAUUUUACAAAGCAGAGGAAGAAGAAAGCAGCUAGAAAUUUAGCUUAGAAUGACGUGUGGGGCAGCCCCAAGACCCUUGAGGGCUCAAAGAGGAUUUGAAGCUAGGUCUCCAAACCCCUUGUUGAGCCUUGGGCAUUCCAGGUCAGAUCCACCGUGAAGACAAGCCCGUAAAUCCUGCCUGGAACCUCACCAGAGCUAAAUCCCAGGUUGGGAACCUGCGGCCCACGGGCCCAGUGUGCCCCUCUGUCUCCAUCCCUGGGUUUCUCCCAGGCCGUAAUGCCUUGGGCACCUUCACUCUGGGUCUAAGCUUCUCAUUUAAAAAGCUUUAAGGGAACUUUGCACAUGUUUUGAAGGAAGGAAAGACCCUGACACCUUCCACCCCUGCAAACUAAGGGCCAAAGCGCUAUAUUAGCUCCACCCACUUUGGGCGCAGGCCACACCCAACGCUCGAACGCAGCAUCUGGCAGAGUCCAACCACUGCAAUUCAGAUGACGUUGGUGUGGAGAGGACACAAGUCCACACCGCCGCUUUUCUCGCAUCACUUUCCUGGGCUCUGGUUUCACUUUCCUGCUCCUAGGCAGGGAAAUUCACCAGCAAGGGAUUUGAAAGUCAGCCGGUUUUAACUGUACUCCUAUCCCGUUAAGAGCUGGUUAGAGGUGAAAGUCCCGAACCUGGAAUUUGGCACUCGCUUUGCACGGCAUGUAUACACGCCAGCCUUGGAAAAACAGCUGAAUUGCACAGCAAAAACAAACUGCCUUGACGCACGCUGGGUAAUUUGCACCCACUUUUCUCAAGCGGGUGCCCUCCAGCCACGCGGGCGACAGAGCCAGCGGGAUGGAGGGCACCUGAUUUUUUAUUUUUAAAUUUUGUUUAUGGUUCUGGGUUGUGCAAUUUUUCUUGGGUCCCUCGGUAUUAAAGUGUGAGUGACAAGAGACCUUUAACCGAUUUAUGCAAGCAGGAGACUGAGGCCAACCACGCACUGCCCAAUCCCUUUCCACAAAAUUGGAUAUUUUUAAAAGAAUGGUAUGCGCAGUUUUAUUUUUUUUUUAAAAGCCUCUCCAAUGCAUUGCUCUUACAAUGCAGAAUUCCUGCAGCUAGGGAGACGCUGGGAUCACCUGUGGGUUUUUAAGCAUUUUACUCUUUUUAUGGAUGUUGUAAGCUGCCCAGUGUCUUCUGGAGUGGGCAGCCACAUUUAAUCGAAUAAAUUAAAUGCAUUUAAUCUGGAGGAUCAGGAACACCCCGAAGGCGUCUAUUCUUCAACCCUCACACUUACACACCCACCUUGGGCAAGAAUUACCCACUUCCAGUGAAGGAGAACAUCAGGGCUGCAAAUAAAAUCCCCCUCCUUGGUUCCUCCUGCUCAGGAGAGGCCAGUUGCCCAAAUUAAAAUUCUGCUUAAGAGAUCCAUAAAUAAAUGGAGGUAGAGAGCCAAGGGAGAGGAAGGGGAUUCCCUGCAAAAUGAAGGGAAUCUUCAGCCCAUGAAUGAAAUCUUAAAUCUUAAAAGGCAGUUGGACCCCAGCAUUGGGUGGCACAAGGAAAUCAAGAUCUCAGAUCGCGAAAGAGCAGCAGGAAGAGUUAGGUCGUUCCUGGGUGGAAGGAACCACGGGCACGUAAGUAAAAUGCAGAGAAUAAGCAGACCCCUCCUUUCAACGCGAUUCAUUUCUCCUUGUUAGUGGCAAAGGGGUUUCUUCUAUCCUGGCCGGAUUCCUGGCGGAUUCAGCUAACCACCAAUGCAGAGGGCUUGGGAACAAGCUUGGAUAGAGCUCCCGAGAUCAAGGAUUGGAAGGAAGGGAGAAGCAGCCCUGUUCGCCUAGCACGAAGACCCCAUCUGGGCUUGCAACGCAGAUUUGGGGAGACGCGGAUGGACGGCGCCGCUUCACCCGUCUCCCUGAAUACAGUGGCCUGCUCAGAAGUUGCUUUUUGGGCUAUUUUUACAUUUAUUUGACUAAAUGCUGCGCUGCGACAGGCCAGAUCAGCUUCCAGCCCCAGUCCAGGGAAAAUCAGGGUGGUUUGCAAGCAAAAUGCCAGGGGACUAACUUAGGCGUUUGGAACACAGAAGUCUAUCGUCUUAUGGGUGGGAAAGGCAGCUAGAAAUAUAUAGAGGCCCUGAAUGUUCUUUCUCUUUUCUGCCCUGAUGCCAGGACGUAAUCUACACAGAAACACAGCUUGGUGCCUGCUCCAGAUUUUUAUGAUGCCCCCUUCAUCUCCUCCUUCUGUUUGUCCUUGCCCGGCCAACUUGCUCUCGUUCUCAGAACAGCUCCGUGGAAGAGCACAAGAGCCGUGGCACGCUUCUCCCUGCGGCUGUGUUUGCACCUCCAGAUCAGGGAAGGAGCUAGCAGAUGGCUUUACAUAGCACGUUAAGUCUGGUUAGUUUUAAUCUCGGUUAGUUGGGGCGCUCAGCACGCAGGGUAAACCCCCAGAUUGUUAGUCUAUGGUUCUGUGCCCUUUGCAAAAGCAGAAAAUGGGCUAAUCAGGUUGGAUCACCAUCUGUUUCUGUCAAUUGCUAUGGUUUGGUGCUGUUUUGAAAAUGAUGCUUUUUUACAUAUUUGUCUUCAGUUUACGCUUCUGAUUCUGAAUUCUUUAUUAGAAAUUUGGGUGCCCUGGGAAAAUGAAACUUUCCAGGCUUCUACUUGGGCGGUGAAUUGGUGUGCAUUAUGAAGCAGGCUAAAAAAAGAUUUUAGUGUAAACACUGCUCAGCCUGCAAUGCCGCAGAGCUGUCUCAAACUCGCCGCUUCAUCUGAUGCAUGCAAUAAUUACAAAUAUAGUUGAUGCAAUUACUUUUUUUUACAUUAGUUCAAAUCAGGCCUUGAGUGAUGUCUGUCUUUCAGUCCAAUCGUCUUGCGCAAGGAGAAACCCUGCCGAGAAAAAUGGGCUACGGCAAUUUUUUAAUGUAAAAAGAGAAAAGAUUUCAGAAGAGAGGGAGAGGCUGUCAAGACAAGAAAAAGUACUUUUGGCCUGUCACUCUGAAUUUUCACCCUGAGGUUUCUUUCGCUCACUUGGGAAGCUAAACAACGAGGUUAAAAUGAAGAGUGGUAUAAAACACGGUCUUAAUUUUGUAAGUUGCCACGUGGAGGUGGGGGCGAAAUAUGCCUUCAUGUUCGGGGAGAAGAAUUUACUGAUGUUGCUCCAGGAGAGAGCUGCCAAAAAUGCUUUAUUUUAAGAAUCCAUUUGGGGGGAAGGGGCACGAAACAGCACCCACUUUUUUUAAAGAACACUGGAUUUCAAACCUGCACCUCUCCAAAAACCGGGCUUUCAACCUGCACCUCUCCAAAAACCAGGUUUUUAGCUCAAAGAGGAGACGGAUACUCCCUCAUGAGAACUGAUGGCAAACAAGGAUGGUCAGAAUGCAAACUUGGAGUUUUUUUCCACCCGUGUGGAGGGCACUCAGCAGACCCCUUGGCGGGCACUAGGAUCUUGGUUGCACAGCGCUGAAGGCAGGUGGAUUUAUUCUAAUUUGGCCCAGGUAAGGGUCACCGGAUGCAGCCGAGGAGUUUCUGCCCAGGUGGGGCGGUCCGUGAGGGGCAAAUCAAUCAGCCCAGCCAUGCCUCUGCCAGGCCCAGUUUGGAGGGACGAAAGGAACUUGGGGAGCCCUGCCAGACGUCCCCAGCAAAACUCUUCCUCCGUGGCAGUUCAGCUCCCGCAGGAAUGUGCCCCCCUUGGCAAUCUCCUAGCUUAAGCCAACUCGUCGGGCUUGCACGGGCACUCCGGAGGGUAACAGCAGACAGUCGAUUGAAGCAGAAGACAUAUCUAGCCAAAUUUUAGCCAUUCAUACAGCGAAUGGCCUUCUGGGGGGUUGUGGUGGUGUGGUUUUUGGACUAGAGUGGGGCGAAUGGAAAAUAAAAGCGGCUUUUUUCUUCUCCGCAGGCAGGUAUUCUUAGCAUUAUAGCGGACUCUAUUUCACUGGGGCCGCCCUCUGCCACGACUC